rnacentral:siRNA from 1 species
AGAAAGUUUGAGAUCGCCGUGGAC